rnacentral:rRNA from 1 species
UACGGAGGGGGCUAGCGUUAUUCGGAAUUACUGGGCGUAAAGCGCACGUAGGCGGACUGGAAAGUUGGGGGUGAAAGCCCAGGGCUCAACCCUGGAACUGCCUUCAAAACUCCCAGUCUUGAGGUCGAGAGAGGUGAGUGGAAUUCCGAGUGUAGAGGUGAAAUUCGUAGAUAUUCGGAAGAACACCAGUGGCGAAGGCGGACUCACUGGCCCGGUACUGACGCUGAGGUGCGAAAGCGUGGGAGCAACAGG